rnacentral:lncRNA from 1 species
CAAAAUAAGCCAGGUUGAGGCGAACUGCCACAGUGGGCGACAGAACCGACACCGGAGCACGGCGGUGCUGCUGUGCCGAAACCCUGAAAUAUGCUGGAAAGAGUUUUCAACACUGAUUUUGGAUUUUUGGGAUAUUUUUGGGUACGUGAUAAGAAUUUUGAUUUCUACAGAGAAAAUUCAGGAAACCUGGGGCUCGUUAGGAGGCGUAAUGGGUAGCACAGGGGGUCAAAACACUGAUCUAAGUAAGGAUCCCUCACCCUAUUCCUUGUUACGGUAAAUGGAGGUUUAAUAAAUCAAUAAUCAUGUAUUUUGUAAAAAUUAAAAAAACUCUAACAAUAAUUACAAGUCACUAGUGGAGCUAGAAAACUAGUUAGUGUACGAUU